rnacentral:rRNA from 1 species
UACGUAGGGUGCAAGCGUUGUCCGGAAUUAUUGGGCGUAAAGAGCUCGUAGGCGGUUUGUCGCGUCUGCCGUGAAAGUCCGGGGCUCAACUCCCGGAUCUGCGGUGGGUACGGGCAGACUAGAGUGCGGUAGGGGGAGAUUGGAAUUCCUGGUGUAGCGGUGGAAUGCGCAGAUAUCAGGAGGAACACCAAUGGCGAAGGCAGAUCUCUGGGCCGUAACUGACGCUGAGGAGCGAAAGCGUGGGGAGCAAACAGG